AGGCAUUAGUACAAUGGUACAUAAUGUUAACGGUACAUUAGUUAAUUGUACAUAUAAAUUUGUUCGCUAAUUGACUGAUUGUUUACUUAUUGAAUCAGUUUUUAAAAUAGAAAAAAAAUAUGCUGUUUAUUAUAGUAAGUAGGUAUAUAGUAGACAAAAUUGCAGUAAAACAAAACUAAAUCAAAUCUAAUUUUAAAAAUAUAAACAUAAAUUAUUGAAAAAAUAAUGUUGCACAACAAAAAAAAAAAAUAUAUAUAUAGGUAUAUAUUAUUUAACACUUGUGAUUACAAAUUCACAGGUGACAAGCUAUUGAAUACAAUUUAAAAUUGUCAACUUUAAAUCAUUAUUUUUGAUACAAAGCCAUUAUUUUUGACAGGGGGCGGAUACAAAGGGAGGAGGGACAGCAUCUAAGUACUUUAAAAAUAGGACAUAAUAAAUUAUAUAAAUUUUAACUUGUAUUAAAAAUACAUUCUUAACACUUAUGAAGAGUGUAUUUUUAAUCUAAGUACAACAAAAGAACUAAAUAUAAAAUACUAAAUACUAGGGUUGGAACGUAUAAUACAGUGAAGUAUAAAACAUUAUUAUAUGCAUGUAUAAAACGUAUACAACUAAUAGUUUUAUACUGUGUACAAUUUUUUUUUUUUGGCUGCAAUUGAACAGAAGUUAUCAGAUAAAAUAAUUGUCAAUUGAAUUUAAUCAUAAUUUUAUACUAAUCUUAUACUAAUUACCUAAGAUAC